rnacentral:rRNA from 1 species
AGAACGAACGCUGGCGGCAUGCCUAACACAUGCAAGUCGAACGCUCUUGAGGCUUCGGUUUCAAGGGAGUGGCGCACGGGUGAGUAGCGCGUGGGAACCUGCCCUGUUGUGGGGGAUAACCGAGGGAAACUUCGGCUAAUACCGCAUGCGCCCGGGGAAACCCGGGAAAGAUUUAUCGCAGCAGGAGGGGCCCGCGUCGGAUUAGGUAGUUGGUAGGGUAACGGCCUACCAAGCCUGUGAUCCGUAGCUGGUCUGAGAGGAUGAUCAGCCACACUGGGACUGAGACACGGCCCAGACUCCUACGGGAGGCAGCAGUGGGAAUAUUGGACAAUGGGCGCAAGCCUGAUCCAGCAAUGCCGCGUGAGUGAUGAAGGCCUUAGGGUUGUAAAGCUCUUUCGCCCGCGACGAUGAUGACGGUAGCGGGAGAAGAACGCCCCGGCUAACUUCGCGCCAGCAGCCGC